AGGUUAAUAAAAUUAGGCCAAGUGGACAAAACGUGAUGACUAUGGUCAUUGUGUUUGUGAGAAAAUUAUUGAAGGAAGAAGUUGUGUUAGAUACAUUAGUGGUAUGUUGUACUUGUAGCAGUUUAGAGAGCUUGGAUAGCUCACAAGUAGCUGCAGUUGAGGCUACUACUGAGAGUCUGAGAGAGUUUGUUUUAUUUUUAAGAGUUUUGUUUGUUUAAAGUACUUUUGUUAAGAGUUUGUUUAGCUUGUACUUAAGUUGGAUAGUAGAAAACAUAAUUUUUUGUGUUUAUUUUUUUUAAAUUAAAAAUGCACCAGAGUGGUUCUCCCUUC